CGCCUUGCCAGCCCGCUCAGAAACUCAAAGGAAUUGACGGGGGCCCGCACAAGCGGUGGAGCAUGUGGUUUAAUUCGAUGGUACGCGAGGAACCUUACCAGGGCUUGACAUACGUUGGAAGCGCAUCGAAAGGUGCGUGCCGCUUGCGGCCGGCGUACAGGUGCUGCAUGGCUGUCGUCAGCUCGUGCUGUGAAGUGUUGGGUUAAGUCCCGUAACGAGCGCAACCCUUGUCCUUAGUUACCAGCACGUUAUGGUGGGCACUCUAAGGAGACUGCCGGUGACAAACCGGAGGAAGGUGGGGAUGACGUCAAGUCAUCAUGGCCCUUACGGCCUGGGCUACACACGUGCUACAAUGGUCGGUACAAAGGGUUGCCAAGCCGCGAGGUGGAGCUAAUCCCAUAAAACCGAUCGUAGUCCGGAUCGCAGUCUGCAACUCGACUGCGUGAAGUCGGAAUCGCUAGUAAUCGUGAAUCAGAAUGUCACGGUGAAUACGUUCCCGGGCCUU
rnacentral:rRNA from 1 species